GGAUCAUUAUCGAGUAUUGAAACGGGUUGCAGCUGGCCUUUUACCGGGCAAGUGCUCGCCCUUUCGAAUCCACUCUCUACACCUGUGCACUUAUUGUGGGUCUUGGUUUUGUUCACUCUCCUGUGUGGUCUUAGUUGAUCUUACGGGGGAAGGGGGGAACUGGGCUUGCAUUUUAUCACAAACCCCUUCAGUAUCAGAAUGUUUAUUGCGAUAUAACGCAUUUAUAUACAACUUUCAGCAACGGAUCUCUUGGCUCUCGCAUCGAUGAAGAACGCAGCGAAAUGCGAUAAGUAAUGUGAAUUGCAGAAUUCAGUGAAUCAUCGAAUCUUUGAACGCACCUUGCGCUCCUUGGUAUUCCGAGGAGCACGCCUGUUUGAGUGUCGUGAAAUUCUCAACCUACAAACACUUUGUGUUUUUGCUAGGCUUGGACUUGGAGGUGUUGCGGGCUCGCUUAGAGUCGGCUCCUCUUAAAUGCAUUAGCUUGAUUCCUUUGUGGAUCGGCUCUC
rnacentral:misc_RNA from 1 species